rnacentral:rRNA from 1 species
CCUACGGGAGGCAGCAGUAAGGGAUAUUGGUCAAUGGGGGAAACCCUGAACCAGCAACGCCGCGUGAGGGAAGACGGUUUUCGGAUUGUAAACCUCUGUCCUCUGUGAAGAUGAUGACGGUAGCAGAGGAGGAAGCUCCGGCUAACUACGUGCCAGCAGCCGCGGUAAUACGUAGGGAGCGAGCGUUGUCCGGAUUUACUGGGUGUAAAGGGUGCGUAGGCGGCUUGGCAAGUCAGUAGUGAAAUCCAUGGGCUUAACCCAUGAACUGCUAUUGAAACUGUCGAGCUUGAGUGAAGUAGAGGUAGGCGGAAUUCCCGGUGUAGCGGUGAAAUGCGUAGAGAUCGGGAGGAACACCAGUGGCGAAGGCGGCCUACUGGGCUUUAACUGACGCUGAGGCACGAAAGCGUGGGUAGCAAACAGGAUUAGAUACCCCAGUAGUC